GUGCUGCUGAAGAGUCCCAAACCAGGACGAAACAGCUGUCCAGUAC
rnacentral:hammerhead_ribozyme from 1 species